GUAACAUUAUAUGUUUCAGCUGGCUGUAGAGGCUUAGCUGCUAUGUUGUAACAUUAUAUGUUUCAGCUGGCUGUAGAGGCUUACCUGCUAAGAUGUUUGACACCAUGGAUGGACAGUACAGUGUAGUACGACUAUUUAUUUAGUCCUGCUCUUGAUAAUAUGUAUGAUGAGACACAUACCAACUUGCCUUUGGCUUGAAUGAGAGACACAGUCAAAAGAGGCACUUGAAGACUGUAUGUUUUUAAUUGGCUGGUUUUCAGACCUAUAUGAUAAAAAUAUAGAUUGUGCCCUUGUUAAUUGAAAGCAUCCUUUUAAACUGGUUUCCACGUUGGGAUAGUUCCAGUACCAGCUGCCUAAAGCACUAGAAUGUUCUAUAUUAGUUUAUUUAGAUUCUCACUAGAUUGUUCUAUAUUUGUUUAUUUAGUUUCUCACUACAUUGUUCUAUGUUCUAUAUUUGUUUAUUUAGUUUCUCACUACAUUGUUCUAUGUUCUAUAUUUGUUUAUUUAGUUGACCGCUUGCAGAGUGAUAAAGGGUGUAGAUAUAGGGUGUUAAUCUGAUAUGAUUCAACCCCUCUCCAAUACAUUUUAUUAUAGGGUGUUAAUCUGAUAUGAUUCAACCCCUCUCCAAUACAGUUUUAUUAUAGGGUGUUAAUCUGAUAUGAUUCAACCCCUCUCCAAUACAGUUUUAUUAUAGGGUGUUCAUCUGAUAUGAUUCAACCCCUCUCCAAUACAGUUUUAUUAUAGGGUGUUAAUCUGAUAUGAUUCAACCCCUCUCCAAUACAGUUUUAUUAUAGGGUGUUCAUCUGAUAUGAUUCAACCCCUCUCCAAUACAGUUUUAUUAUAGGGUGUUCAUCUAAAUGAUUCAACCCCUCUCCAAUACAGUUUUAUUAUAGG
ensembl:lncRNA